UACGAAGGGAGCUAGCGUUGUUCGGAAUUACUGGGCGUAAAGGGCGCGUAGGCGGCUCUGCAAGUCAGAUGUGAAAGCCCCGGGCUUAACCUGGGAACUGCAUUUGAUACUGCAAGGCUAGAGAUUGAGAGAGGUAAGUGGAAUUAUGAGUGUAGAGGUGAAAUUCGUAGAUAUUCAUAAGAACAUCAGUGGCGAAGGCGGCCAUCUGGCUGGUAACUGACGCUGAGGUGCGAGAGCGUGGGGAGCAAACAGG
rnacentral:rRNA from 1 species